rnacentral:rRNA from 1 species
AUUGAACGCUGGCGGCAGGCCUAACACAUGCAAGUCGAACGAGUGGCGCACGGGUGAGUAAUGUCUGGGAAACUGCCUGAUGGCGGGGGAUACCUACUGGAAACGGUAGCUAAUACCGCAUACCAUCGGAUGUGCCCAGAUGGGCUUAGCUAGUAGGUGGGGUAAAGGCUUACCUAGGCGACGAUCCCUAGUUGGUCUGAGAGGAUGACCAGCCACACUGGAACUGAGAAACGGUCCAGACUCCUACGGGAGGCAGCAGUGGGGAAUAUUGCGAAAUGGGCGCAAGCCUGAUGCAGCAAUGCCGCGUGUAUGAAGAAGGCCUUCGGGUUGUAAAGUACUGUCAGCGGGGAAGCGUUACCCGAAGAGGAAGCACCGGCUAACUACGUGCCAGCAGCCGCGGGAAUAC